GUCCCUGUAGCGCAACGGAUAGCGCGUUGGACUUCUAAUCCAAAGGGCGUGCAUUCGAAUUCCCCCUGGGAUA
rnacentral:tRNA from 1 species